UGGGGAAUUUUGCACAAUGGGGGAAACCCUGAUGCAGCGACGCCGCGUGAUUUAGAAGGCCUUCGGGUUGUAAAAAUCUUUUCUAUGGGAAGAAAAUGACAGUACCAUAGGAAUAAGGACCGGCUAAUUACGUGCCAGCAGCCGCGGUAAUACGUAAGGUCCGAGCGUUGUCCGGAAUCAUUGGGCGUAAAGGGUACGUAGGCGGGUAAGCAAGUUAGAAGUGAAAUCCUGUAGCUCAACUACAGUAAGCUUUUAAAACUGCUCAUCUUGAGAUAUGGAAGGGAAAGUGGAAUUCCUAGUGUAGCGGUGAAAUGCGCAGAUAUUAGGAGGAAUACCGGUGGCGAAGGCGACUUUCUGGCCAUAAUCUCACGCUGAGGUACGAAAGCGUGGGUAGCAAACAGG
rnacentral:rRNA from 1 species